rnacentral:rRNA from 1 species
AUUGAACGCUGGCGGCAGGCCUAACACAUGCAAGUCGAACGAGUGGCGGACGGGUGAGUAAUGUCUGGGAAACUGCCCGCUGGAGGGGGAUAACUACUGAAACCGGUAGCUAAUACCGCAUACCAUCGGAUGUUCCCCGAUGGGAUUAGCUAGUAGGUGGGGUAACGGCUCACCUAGGCGACGAUCCCUAGCUGGUCUGAGAGGAUGACCAGCCACACUGGAACAGAGGCACGGUCCAGACGCCUACGGGAGGCAGCGGGGGGGAAUGUUGGACUAUGGGGGAAAGCCUGAUACAGCCAUCCCGCGUGGAUGAAGGAGGCCUUAGGGUUGUAAAGUACUUUCAGCGAGGAGGCGUUACUCGCAGAAGAAGCACCGGCUAACUCCGUGCCAGCAGCCGCGGUAAUAC